CAUUUUACUUGAACAACCCUUUCUUCUGAUGCCCAUUUCCCAGGCCGCUGGAUAGCACACACCAAUAAAUAAAGAGAAGUCUCCAAAUAAGACAUAAAAGAGCUCUUCCACUUCCAAAGUCCCAGCAGCAACCUUCCCAUUGCCAGAGCUCCAUUAACUGCCAUUUCCUAAUCCGUAAUGGAAUGAGGAGCACGACCAAAGCUGCUUUUCCUCUGAAACACAAGGUCCUUACAGACUGGGUGGAGACUACGCUUCAGAGCCAUCAGCUUCCUCUGAAAUGUUCCUGCAAAGCACGAGACCUGAGACACGGCAGCGUUACCGCCAGAGGCACAGGGAACAAACUGCAAUACUGGACACGGUGAAGCUGUGAGGACAAGCAGGACCUGAGCAUCCAGGUCACAGCUGCAGAGCUGCAGUGCACCACACACAGCACCAGCAGCCUCGGCAGUGCUGCACAGCAGUCAUCCUGGUGACAGGGUUAAAGGGCGGCAAGGUUUGCAGGGAGGAGGAACAGAUUUUAAUGACUUGAUGAACAGUUGACUGGUAUAGUUGGAGAGAGGGCCCACAUCUUAAAGCUCAAGCAAAAGUCAUAAACGUUAUUCAUUAUGAGCAUUUAUGAGAGAAAUGGAGGCUCUAAGGAAGACCUGCAAGUCGGACUCACCCUGCCUUCUGCUGCAUUAGUGGUGCCUAAGAGCUUUAACAGCAAUCAGCUGAAGCAUUCAAGUUGAUGUCCAAACACCGGGUGUUUUGUUGCCUGAAGUUCCAGCAGUGAACUCAGGUUCAACCUACUGCAAAGCCUGAGGCGCAGGGCAGGUCGCCACAGGCACAGAUCCUGCUGCGUGGGCUUGCCACUGCGGCCAUGCUACCCCUAUUGCUGAGCAGCCACACAUCCACCGUACCAAAUUACACGGCCACUGUGCCCAGGCCUGAGGUUAUCCACACCGCCUAACUGCAUGCUGAGGUUUUGUUCCUGGCUCACACCCACCGAGGUCAACACAGCUAGCAUCUGGCCAGAGAGCACACGUGAGCAGCAGUGGGGAAACGACACGUCAGGCAGUGUGGCCACACUGCUGAUCUCUUUGGACAAGAUCCCCAGUUUCCUUCCGUGACUGGUGAAAAUGACCACAAAAUGCAAUGGAUUCUGCUUGCGUAAAUAAAUCUGUCAUCAGCGAGAUCUUCCUGUUCA
rnacentral:lncRNA from 1 species